AAUGAACGCUGGCGGCGCGCCUAAUACAAUGCAAGUCGAGCGAGAAGACGUAGCAAUACGUUUGUAAAGCGGCGAACGGGUGAGGAAUACAUGGGUAACCUACCCUCGAGUGGGGAAUAACUAGCCGAAAGGUUAGCUAAUACCGCGUACGCUCCUUGGACUUCGGUUCAGGGAGGAAAGCGAUACCGUGGGUAUCGCGCUCUUGGUUGGGCUCAUGUCCUAUCAGCUUGUUGGUGAGGAACGGCUCACCAAGGCUUCGACGGGUAGCUGGUCUGAGAGGACGAUCAGCCACACUGGCACUGCGACACGGGCCAGGACUCCGUACGGGAGCAGCAGUAAGGAAUAUUGCGCAA
rnacentral:rRNA from 1 species